AAAAGCACUAAAAAAAAAAAAUCUCUAAAUUAGAUUUAAACCCAUUAACUAUUGGCCCAUUUUAAGCACCAUCCAUUAGCUACAUUGGAGAUACACAGCCGAUACACAAACAUAGCCACCACGUUUUAUCAUUAAGAGCAAAGGCAGCCAGAGCCAGCCAGGUACAUCUAAAUUCUGUCUUCUCUUCUUCCUCUUCUCCUUCUCCCUUUCUAUAUUUUUUUUUUGGCAGUGUUUGUCUUUGAUGGGUAGGCAGCUUCUUCUUCUUCUUCUUGUCCUCUUGCCUUUUUCCUUUCUUCCCCACCUCACUCAGGCCCACCUAGGCACACCUUGCCCCUCGCUGCGCCUCGCUGCGCCUUGGUGAGGUUACCCACCUUUCGAUGCCUGAGGCAAUCCCCUUUAAGCCCGAUGCGCCAUGCACCUCAAGCACACGUUUGACAACCACGCAAACAAGAAUGGCAUUCCGGGGAGAUCAAAUAAACUGAUAUAUUGACUCUUCAUCAACUUCAAGGAACAAAGCAUGUCUGUUUCCUAGCCUAUACAUUAAAGCCUUUAAAGGGAAAAGAAAAUAUAGCAAAGCUUUCAAUUUGGCCCUCAAUUUUUUGUGACAAGAAAUACAUGAAUGACAUGGAAAGCAGUAUAAGCAGAACCACAUUAGCGCAACUGACUUGUUUGUAACAUCUAUUUCAUCCUUAAUAAGCCAUUUGCUGUGAUAAUCUGCAUCCCAAUUAGCUGCCAAGAGACAUAGUUGCCUGAUACUUGAAUUAGCAGAGUUGGGAGAUUCAGGAAUAUCACCUUCCCUUCCAUGCCUCUCAAACAAUUUCUGAGAAAAACUUCUAGAACAUCUUCUGCAAAAGUUGGCAAUACGAUGUGAUCUUUAGAGUAGAUGGCAGACACAACAGAAAAGGUAAGCCCUCGAAGAUAGACAAUAAGUCAUCUUUGUAGAUCUACUUGCAGAAUUAAAGGUAACCAUAUUUUCUGCGCACCACUGAAGUAAUCCACAAUAGCAGGAUUCACUAUUAUAGAUUCUGAAGAAAUUGCUGGCAAUAAAUGUGAUCUUGAUAAACUGACACUAAAGCAAGUUAUUAGCUUCUUCUUCUACCUUGGAACCAAAUCAUUUCAAUAUUCCAGAUUCAAAGCAUUUAUAGUAUCAGAUAUUCAACAUCCGAAGUGGCUACCCUCAAACAAACUUCUUGCAGUGAGAAUUCCGAUGAAUUAUCCUUUGAAUACUGCAAGAAUCAUCUUCCAGAAUGUUUUCCUACUUGCUAGUGCAAUUGGCUUAACCAAUUAAAUGGUAAUGCACAACCACCUAAGAAAAGAAGUAUUUAACCAAGCCAGAGAGGUAAACCAGAUAUUGAAUCUUUAAGAUCUAGAAAUCACUCCUAAACAAGUUUCUUGCACCAAUGGAAAACUCUAAACAGUUGGCUUUCAACAAAAUUCUUGAAUGCUCGUUUUCUUCUUUUUGUAUCUUCAAGAUCCAGUGUUCUAUAUGCAAGAGCAAGUAAAUACAUUGCUGGAUGGAGUCUCUUGUCAUAUUGUUCACUUUCAUCAAAGCCAUCCCAAUGCCUCUGAGAUGGAACCGUUCGACCUUUCUUAUCUCUACCAAAUGUUUCGAUGUACCAACCACCUAUAUCAUGCAUGCCACAACGAGGCUCAAACAGCCAAAAUCUGCUUGGUGGUAAUCGAGCUCUACUGCACCUACAUUCACAAACAGAAACUUUAUCCCCCACUGCAUACCAGUGCACAUGCUUUACCAGUAAAGUCCUAUGUUUCAUUAUGACAUGGGUUUUUAUACCACUCCUAUCAUAGACAAAGCAUGAUCCCUCUUCAGGACUGGUUCCCAAUCCGGUUAUUGUUCCCAGUGGAAUCUUAAGUCCAACUGCACCGUCCAAAAUGGAAUCCUGGGAACAACCUCUUCUAAUAUGAGUGGAAUUACCAUCUGAAUUAAGAAAAACAUGUAUUUGAUCUUGAGAAUCUUCAUUCUGUACUCCAUUAAAUUGCCCUUUAGGAGGAACUCUAGUGGCCACAGCAACCACCCUUCCAUUUACAUGCAAUUCCAAAUCUUUAUAUGCAUCUGAUAUUUGACUUAGAAUAUUCCUCGCAUUCAUAUGAGACGGUCCAUCCUUGUUCACUUCAACAUAAUUCAUGAAGAUGCUUGUGUUCUCAAUAGAUCCACAGUUAUCCAAACAAGCAGAUGUAAAAGAAUUCAACUUCUUGUUGCAAGAAGAAGAUAAUUCAGGAAUUUUAUUGACGAGGCAGACCAUCCCAAAAAGAUCACGUCCAGAAACCAAGUGUAGAACCUCUGGAGUUUCACAAACAGACCUUUCCUCUGCUUCAAAACGGUCAGGAAGAAGAUCCAUAGACUCAAUUAUAGGGCCAUAGUAAGCUGCAUGUAUGGCUGAAUAAAAAUCAGCUUCAAGUACAUCAAAAUAGCUUGCUCCAACCACCACCUUCUUCUCUAACAAUAUGUCAUUUAUGGCCAAUCGAUACCACUUCAACCAUUCAACAACUUCCAUCUGUUUACGUGCAGUCAUUUGGGUUUUAUACAUGUACAAUGUUGAACCUUCUCCAGAAUGGUUCUGCAUGACUCUUCUCUGAGACAUCAGAUACCGGUCAUAGUGGGCUCUCCUCUCAGAAUCUGAAAGAAUCUCGUAAGCGGCGAGAAUUUGAACGAAACGGUGAGAGGUGGAGGAACCGUUCUUACACUCGGCGAGGUCCGGGUGAGUUUCUUUAGCUAAUUUCCGAAACGAUGCUUUGAUUUCGGCGAAUGAGCUGGUCUCGGAAACUCCUAAGAUAUCGUACGCGUUCACUCCCGGGAACUCGGACUUAGUCCAGUCAGUGGCAGAGCUGAACCAGUGAGUUAUAGAACUCGGAUUCGAGUACAGCAAGAUAUAACAGCGCCUUUUUCUGUGGCAGCUGUGAUUUGAUCGAAUUGAGAUAAAAAAGAAAACCAUUUUCCUUCGUGUUUCUCUUUAUUCCCAGGGAAGAAUCAGAAAUGGUGAUGAUACUACCGAGUCUGAGAAGGAUUGCCAUCAGCCAUCCAGGUCUGGUG
rnacentral:misc_RNA from 1 species